CACGUAGGCACCAAGCGUUGUCCGGAUUUAUUGGGCGUAAAGAGCUCGUAGGCGGUUCAGUAAGUCGGGUGUGAAAACUCUGGGCUCAACCCAGAGACGCCACCCGAUACUGCUGUGACUUGAGUACGGUAGGGGAGUGGGGAAUUCCUGGUGUAGCGGUGAAAUGCGCAGAUAUAGGAGGAACACCAGUGGCGAAGGCGCCACUCUGGGCCGUAACUGACGCUGAGGAGCGAAAGCGUGGGUAGCAAACAGG
rnacentral:rRNA from 1 species